CCUACGGGAGGCAGCAGUGGGGAAUUUUCCGCAAUGGGCGAAAGCCUGACGGAGCAAUACCGCGUGAGGGAAGAAUGCCUACGGGUUGUAAACCUCUUUUAUCAGGGAGGAACAAAAUGACGUGUACCUGAUGAAUAAGCAUCGGCUAACUCUGUGCCAGCAGCCGCGGUAAGACAGAGGAUGCAAGUGUUAUCCGGAAUUACUGGGCGUAAAGCGUCUGUAGGUUGUUGAACAAGUCAACUGUUAAAUCUUGAAGCUCAACUUCAAAAUCGCAGUCGAAACUGUUUGACUAGAGUAUAGUAGAGGUAAAGGGAAUUUCCAGUGGAGCGGUGAAAUGCGUAGAUAUUGGAAAGAACACCGAUGGCGAAAGCACUUUACUGGGCUAUUACUGACACUCAGAGACGACAGCUAGGGUAGCAAAUGGGAUUAGAUACCCCAGUAGUCCUAGCCGUAAACUAUGGAUACUAGAUGUUGAACAGAUCGACCUGUGCAGUAUUAAGUACUAACGUACGUUAAGUUAUCCGUCCGUCGGUAAGUAGUGCGUCGCGAGAGUAGAACGUACGAAAGAAGUUAGUACGGCGUGAGACGUCGCCGACGGACGACCGACGAGGGAGGUUAGG
rnacentral:rRNA from 1 species